AACGAACGCUGGCGGCAUGCCUAACACAUGCAAGUCGAACGAAACCUUCGGGUCUUGUGGCGCACGGGUGCGUAACGCGUGGGAACCUUCCCUUGGGUUCGGCAUAACUCCCCGAAAGGGGUGCUAAUACCGGAUAAUGUCUUCUGACCAAAAAUUUAUCGCCUUUGGAUGGUCCCUCGUUGGAUUCGCUAUUUGUUAGGGUAAAAGCCUACCAAGGCGCCGAUCCCUAGCUGGUCUGAGAGGAUGAUCAGCCACACUGGGACUGAGACACGGCCCAGACUCCUACGGGAUGCAGGAGUGGGGAAUAUAGGAAAACGGGCGAAAGGCUGAACCAGUAAUGCCGCGAGAGUGAUGAAGGCAUGAGGGUUGUAAAGCGCUUUUACCCGGGAUGAUAAUGACAGUACCGGGAGAAUAAGCCACGGCUAACUACGUG
rnacentral:rRNA from 1 species